CAUCAGUAUAUGUUAAUACAGAUAAAAAUUAUAAAUAAUUCAUCAAUUUUUUAUUUUUUAUUUUUUUCAAAAAGUAGAGCCCUCAGAUCUCAUAGCUUCUAGAAUCACAGACGGCUAAUCCGGUGGGGAUCCAUCAGAGGCCUCGAACGCACCACCAUCACAACCAAGCAACCACGUGAAUGUGUGUGCGGUGUAUUUAUCUAUCAAUAGUAAAGAGGUGGAGGUGGAGGUGGAGGUGGAGGUGGAGGUGGCUGAUUAUUCCAGUGAUGCGCGAAGGCCAACGAUGAAUCAACCACCACCAUGCCGCAUCAACGUAUUAAUUUUUCCAUCAUUGGGCAAAUUUUUAGAAAAACAAUCAAAUCCAAAGCGAAUUACAAAUUCAAAUAGACACAGGAGAGUGGCAACGGCGUGCAGUGCAGCCAAACUAGGGUUUUUUAGAUCGAGAGGAGGAAACGGAA
rnacentral:lncRNA from 1 species